AAUUUUCCGCAAUGAGCGAGAGCCGGGGGGGGCAAUUCCGGGUGAGGGAGGACGGGUCAUGGGUGGUAAACCUCAUUUCUCAAGGAAGUACACAAAAUCGGUACUUGAGGAAUAAGCAUCAGCUAACUAUUCACCAGCAGCCGCGGUAAUACGGAGGAUGCAGCAGGUGUUCGUAGGAAUCGGGCGUAAAGCGUCCGCAGGUGGUUAUGCAAGUCUUCUGUUAAAGAAGGGAGCUCAUCUCCAUAAGGGCAGUGGAAACUGCGUGAUUAGAGUACGUUAGGGGUAGAGGGAAUUCUUGGUGUAGCGGUGAAAUGCGCAGAUAUCAUGAAGAACACCGGUGGCGAAGGCGCUCUACUAGGCCGUAACUGACGCCGAGGGACGAAAGCUAAGGGAGCGGGUGAGAUUAGAUACCCCAGUAGUCUUACCCGUA
rnacentral:rRNA from 1 species